AUACGUAGGAACCAAGCGUUGUCCGGAAUUACUGGGUGUAAAGGGUGCGCAGGCGGAUUUGUGCGUCAAGGGUUAAAUACCUCGGCUCAACCGAGGAAAUGCCUUUGAUACGGCAAGUCUUGAGUACGAGAGAGGAUGGUAGAAUUCCUGGUGUAGCGGUGAAAUGCGUAGAUAUCAGGAGGAAUACCCGUGGCGAAGGCGGCCAUCUGGCUCGUUACUGACGCUCAGGCACGAAAGCGUGGGGAGCAAACAGGAUUAGAAACCCGAGUAGUCC
rnacentral:rRNA from 1 species